CGUCACGUACAACUGUACCUGCAUACCCCUUUGCGUGCUCUGCAACUCACCCGAAAUAUUCCAAAUGGAUCAGUCGUUACUGGUUUUAACUUUGGCUGUUCUGACAACCUCUAUAGCUACGUAUGCACUGCCACUGGAACCUGCUUCUGAGGAGCUCGCAACUGCGGAGGUCACCACGGAAAGCACGUUACAGGUCGAAGGGGUGAUGAUGACUACUCUGACGCCACCUGCUCAGCUGGAGUUAAUUCUGGUCGCGGAGAAGUUUGACCUGGACACCGCUGCCAGCUGUAUGAUAUUUCGACCAUAUUUCAGAAACAGCCGCCGAAGUCGUGGCCGAAGAGCGUUCUUCUUCUAGGCGAUGAGAACGUUCUGCUGUUUGUCUGUUUGCAUUUACAUGGAAUUGGCUUCACUCAUGUAAAAUGUGAAGUUCUUUUCCUGUAUCCAGUUGAUAACUGGAAUUCAAGACAUCUGCAUCAAAUCGUAUCCUCUCAUCACAUUGUAUAUAUAUCAUAAUUUUAUAUUUAUUUAUUCUUUGUUUCAUACAAACAGACAUUCAUUUCCACAAUCUCAUUCCUUUUUCGUACUUUUGAAAUAAAGCAAUGUUUUUAAAUA